GACGAACGCUGGCGGCGUGCCUAAUACAUGCAAGUUGAGCGCUGAAGGUUGGUACUUGUACCAACUGGAUGAGCAGCGAACGGGUGAGUAACGCGUGGGGAAUCUGCCUUUGAGCGGGGGACAACAUUUGGAAACGAAUGCUAAUACCGCAUAAAAACUUUAAACACAAGUUUUAAGUUUGAAAGAUGCAAUUGCAUCACUCAAAGAUGAUCCCGCGUUGUAUUAGCUAGUUGGUGAGGUAAAGGCUCACCAAGGCGAUGAUACAUAGCCGACCUGAGAGGGUGAUCGGCCACAUUGGGACUGAGACACGGCCCAAACUCCUACGGGAGGAAGCAGUAGGAAAUCUUCGGCAAUGGACGAAAGUCUGACCGAGCAACGCCGCGUGAGUGAAGAAGGUUUUCGGAUCGUAAAACUCUGUUGGUAGAGAAGAACGUUGGUGAGAGUGGAAAGCUCAUCAAGUGACGGUAACUACCCAGAAAGGGACGGCUAACUACGUG
rnacentral:rRNA from 1 species